UUCUAAUCAAAGUGAAAUUAUUCGGAAUUACAAAAUAACUUAAUACGGUUGUAUUUUUUAACAAUAUAAAUUUAUUCGUGUUCCUGAUUAGGAAGAAUUAUAAAUAUUCUAUUGAAUAAAAUCUUGACAAAUAAAGAAAGUGGAAGAAGAUCAGGAACGAGAAUCUUAAAGGAAAAUACAUUGGUUAGAACCGCAAAGAUGUCAGUAAAUCAAGCAAUGAGCCCUUCCGAAGAAACGUUUGGUUGCUACGUAUGUUACAAAGGAUACACA